GGGGGCGUGGCGCAACGGAAUUAGCGCGGCUCGCUACGAACGAGCAGGUUGGAGGUUCAAAUCCUCUCGUCCCUUCCA
rnacentral:tRNA from 1 species